rnacentral:tRNA from 1 species
AGUGAAAUAGUUAAAUUAUAACAACAGGUUGUCAUCCUGAAAUUACUUACUUUUAAGAGUUUUCGCUU